rnacentral:tRNA from 1 species
AGCCCUGGUCUUGUAAACCAGACGUCGGAGGUUAAAAUCCUCCCUACUGCU